rnacentral:rRNA from 1 species
UACGGAGGGUGCAAGCGUUAUCCGGAAUCACUGGGUUUAAAGGGUGCGUAGGCGGUUUGAUAAGUCAGAAGUGAAAGCCUGCGGCUUAACCGUAGAAUUGCUUUUGAUACUGUCGAACUUGAAUUAGGUUGAGGUUGGCGGAAUGUGACAUGUAGCGGUGAAAUGCAUAGAUAUGUCAUAGAACACCAAUUGCGAAGGCAGCUGACUAGACCUUAAUUGACGCUGAGGCACGAAAGCGUGGGGAGCGAACAGG